CCUGCAGCGGUGGGUAUGAAUACACUCUCCAUCACAGGUUCUGUCUGCUUACCUCCCAAACGCCUUGCCUUGCAGCCCACCCCCGCCAAGUCUGUGUACCAGAACAGCCUCCUUUCAGCCUUCUCCCUCUCCCUCAAUCCCUUCUGCUUCACUUUCUUUCCCUUGUCCCAGGACGUUUUCUCCUGUGGGGUCCUUGGCUUGUAUAACAGCAUCAAAAACAAACAUUUGUUUGUUUGUUCAUUCAUCCAAUAUUUGGUGUCAGGUGCUGAGAGUACAAGAACGAGCAGAGCAAAGCCAGGCACGAUUCCUGACCUCCAGCAACUUCCAUUCUGACCGAAGACUGUCAUUACAGAACUAACUGCAUGUAAGUGUAAAAUGGCAACCAUGACAAAGUGGCAAUGGGACAGGAGUCCAGAGGAACUGUUGACCCAGCUGAAAUCUGAGGGACAAAGGGAACUUACCCUGGGAAAGGGAGGACACUCCAAGCCACAAGGAAUCACCAGAUGGCAUUCCAAAGUGGCUGUCCCAUCUUGCAUUCCCACCAGCAAUGGAUAAGAGUUCUUGUUUCAUAUUCUCAUGAGCAUUUGGUGUUGUCAGUGUUCUGGAUUUUGGCCAUUCUAAUAGGUGUAUAAUUAACUAGCUUUUUAUUGAAAAGAGAUGAAUCCCUAAAAGGAUGGAUUUUCUUCCUUCCUUCCUUCUUUCCUCAUUCCCUCCCUCCCUCCUCUCUUUCUCUUUUUCCUUUUUGUACCAGGGAUUGAACCUAGGGCGCUUUACCACUGAGCUACAUCCCCAGCCCCUUUUAUAUUUUAUUUUGAGACAGUCUGGCUAAGUUGCUAAGGUUGCUGAACUUGGUCUUGAACUUGAGAUCCUCCUGCCUCAAUUUGGGAUUAGGGGUAUGUGCCACUGUGCUGGGCCUGGGUGAAUUUUCACAAAGUAAGCACACCUGUGUAACAAGGACCUAGAUUAAAAAACAACAUGCACCCCAGAAGCCACUUCUGGUUGUGAUCUCCCAAGAUCAGCACUCUGCCAUAGAAGAGUUUUGUUGGGGUGUGAUCUUUAUGGAAGUGAGACCAUACAGUGUGUGUUUUCAAAUCUUUUCACUCAACUUUGCAUUUAUGAAAUUGAUCUUCAUUGUUAAGAGUCAUAGUGCACUCCCUCUUGUUGCUAUGACAUAAGCAUUUUUAUUUGCAUGUACCACUACUUAUUUAUCCAUUCUCAUUUAUCUGAGUUGUGGCCAGUCAGGCAGUUACAAGUACUGCUACUAAGAACAUUUAUCUCAUUUGGUUGGCACAGAAUCUUAUUUCUGCUAGGAUAUGCCCAGGGGUGGGGUGAUCAUAAGGUAUGUUUAUGUUCAGCUUAAUGCUCUCUAUAGUAUGUGUUUUUAUUGUGGUAAAAUAUGCAUAAUAGAAGCUUUACCAGUCUCCAAAACCUUUCAUCAGUUCUUCUUUCACUAUCUGUCUCCAAAACCUUUCAUCAGGUCUUUUUUGUUGUUGUUGUUCCUUGUGCAUGUGAGGCAAGCACCCUACCAACUGAGCUAUACACAGCCCUGUCAUCUCAGAUUUUAAUGAAACUUCAUCCUCAUUAAAAGCUCACUCUCCCUCCCUGCAGCCCUAUAACUUUCAUUGUUUCCUCUGCUGUCUUAGGCACCUCACAAACGUGGAUUCCUACACUACUUGUUCUUUUCUCCUAGCAUAAUGUUUUCAAGAUUCAUCCAUGUUGUCACAUGUAUCAGGACUUAAUUACUUUUUAAUGGCUGAACAAUAUUCCAUUGAAUGGAUAGACCAUGUUUGUUUAAACAUUCAUUUGUUGAUGAACACUUGACUUGUUUCCACCUUUUGGCUGUUGCUAUGAAUUUUGGUGUACAAGUAUCUGUUUGAAUCCCUGCUUUCAAGUCUUUGGGGUAUAUAACCACAAGUGGAAUUGCUGGGUCACAUGAGGAUUCCAUGUGUAGUUUUUUGUAAGAACCACUGUCCUGUUUUCUGCAAUGACUAUACCAUUUUAUGUUCCC
rnacentral:lncRNA from 1 species